AACGAACGCUGGCGGCAUGCCUAACACAUGCAAGUCGAACGAGACCUUCGGUUCUAGUGGCGCACGGGUGCGUAACGCGUUGGAACCUGCCCUUAGGUUCGGAAUAACUCCCCGAAAUGGGUUCUAAUACCGGAUACUGUCUUCGGACCAAAGAUUUAUCGCCUUUGGAUGGGCCCGCGUUGGUUUAGCUAGGUGGUAGGGUAAAAGCCUACCAAGGCGACGAUCCAUAGCUGGUCUGAGAGGAUGAUCAGCCACACUGGGACUGAGACACGGCCCAGACUCCUACGGGAGGCAGCAGUGGGGAAUAUUGGACAAUGGGCGAAAGCCUGAUCCAGCAAGGCCGCGUGAGUGAUGAAGGCCUUAGGGUUGUAAAGCGCUUUUACCCGGGAUGAUAAUGACAGUACCGGGAGAAUAAGCUCCGGCUAACUCCGUG
rnacentral:rRNA from 1 species